CCUACGGGUGGCUGCAGUGGGGAAUUUUGCGCAAUGCUCGUAAGAGUGACGCAGCGACGCCGCGUGAAUGACGAAGGCCUUCGGGUCGUAAAGUUCUUUCGACAGGGAAGAAAAUGCCCUUAAGUAAUCGUGUAUGUAUUGACGGUACCUGCAUAAGCAGCCCCGGCUAACUCCGUGCCAGCAGCCGCGGUAAUACGGAGGGGGCGAGCGUUGUUCGGAGUGACUGGGCGUAAAGGGCACGUAGGCGGUGUUGUAAGUCAUUAGUCAAAGACUAGAGCUCAACUUUGGAAAGGCUAGUGAUACUAUAAUACUGGAGUAUGAGAGAGGAUUGCAGAAUUCCUGGUGUAGCGGUGAAAUGCGUAGAUAUCAGGAGGAAUACCGUUAGCGAAGGCGGCAAUCUGGCUGGAAACUGACGCUGAGGUGCGAAAGCGUGGGUAGCAAACAGGAUUAGAUACCCGGGUAGUC
rnacentral:rRNA from 1 species